CUGUGCCUCACAAAGAGAGUCGGGUUUGGUAGCAAGGAAGGGAAUCCUUUGGAGGAACAGCAUUUCUACCGAAGAGGGAACCAGGAGGCCUACAUAACUCUUCGGGCAAACGAGGUCUCAAGAAUGCUCCCAAGAGAGUUCACGGAUGUCAAACUUUACGUCAUUACGAGGGGCAGCUGUCAGGCGCAAAGGAUCAGAGAUUUCAUUGAAAGAAAAAGGAGAAGGCCAACAGAAGACCAAGAAACAUCAGAGAAGAGACGACGAGGAAAGAAUUAAACCCGUUAUCCAUAGAGAACAUGCGUCUAUAAGUGGAUCAACCACAUGACAUAGAAAUUCUCUUGUUUAUGCAUUCUCGUCAGCAGUCUUUCAUAUUUGAUUAUUCACAGUUUAGUUGUAAUAUCAGUUCAAUUUCCUUUUAUACCAAAUCACUGCUACGUCCUUGAUUUCAACAUUGCGAUCUGCUGAGGAGAGUUCGCUCUUUUGUUUCUUCUUUUUUCAUUAUUUUUUCAUCGCAGUCCGCCAUGAUCAGAUUAAAGGAAAUAGUCUUUGUGUUGUUAAUAGUUCCAUAGUUGAGCAGAUUCUCAUGAUUCCCACCACUGCUGUCUGAAACAUAAUGUUUCUUUUAUUAAGUGUAUUUUUUUUUUUUUUUUUUUUUUUUUUUUUUAGCCACAGUAAAAUACCUGAGUAGUCAUAGAGCCACAAAUACGUAUAGGAUAAUUGAACAUCUGUAGUGGUUCUGAGCCCCGCAGUAGUCCCCAUUAGGUACAGCGCCAUCUAUGCGCCGCCAUUUUAAUUACCUAUCUUCUUUCAAGUUUUAUUUUUGUGUUUUAUCUCCCCUUCUUGUUAAUUAUAUAAACACUAUUUUAUCGUGUAACCUGGGCUAUCUGCUCUUUUAGAUUUUGUCGUUGCAUUUUUAUCUUGACUUUUGUGAAUUUUACGGUUUCAUAUUUACCAUUCUAUCUGUAUUUCAUAUUUUUUCUCUAAUAUCAGUUUUACUUCGUUUUCAAUAUCUAAUUAAUCUGUUUGGGACAAGACACAAACAAGGCUAUAUGAGCUGCUGUCCUACCGCCGAACUAGCUCUCUCAGCUCUUGGCUCUUCCGUCUUUGUGGUUGUCUUGGGGAAGGUGUUCGAUACUACAUUGGAGACAAUAUUGACCUCGUUUGCAAGAGGCUGUAGGUUAGCUGCACGCGUUGUUGAUUCUCUUUAAUAUACUGACUGAGGGAU
rnacentral:lncRNA from 1 species